rnacentral:tRNA from 1 species
GGCAAGAUGACCGAGUGGUUAAGGUGUGUGACUCAAGCUACAGCUUGCCCUAGCAAAUAGGGUCGUCUUCACAUGUCGCAAGACGCGUGGGUUCGAAUCCCACUCUUGUCA